rnacentral:rRNA from 1 species
AGAGUUUGAUCCUGGCUCAGAUUGAACGCUGGCGGCAGGCCUAACACAUGCAAGUCGAGCGGUAACAGAAAAUAGCUUGCUAUUUUGCUGACGAGCGGCGGACGGGUGAGUAAUGCUUGGGAACAUGCCUUGAGGUGGGGGACAACAGUUGGAAACGACUGCUAAUACCGCAUAAUGUCUACGGACCAAAGGGGGCUUCGGCUCUCGCCUUUAGAUUGGCCCAAGUGGGAUUAGCUAGUUGGUGAGGUAGUGGUUCACCAAGGCAACGAUCCCUAGCUGGUUUGAGAGGAUGAUCAGCCACACUGGAACUGAGACACGGUCCAGACUCCUACGGGAGGCAGCAGUGGGGAAUAUUGCACAAUGGGCGAAAGCCUGAUGCAGCCAUGCCGCGUGUGUGAAGAAGGCCUUCGGGUUGUAAAGCACUUUCAGUCAGGAGGAAAGGGUGUGAGUUAAUACCUCAUAUCUGUGACGUUACUGACAGAAGAAGCACCGGCUAACUCCGUGCCAGCAGCCGCGGUAAUACGGAGGGUGCGAGCGUUAAUCGGAAUUACUGGGCGUAAAGCGUACGCAGGCGGUUUGUUAAGCGAGAUGUGAAAGCCCCGGGCUCAACCUGGGAACUGCAUUUCGAACUGGCAAACUAGAGUGUGAUAGAGGGUGGUAGAAUUUCAGGUGUAGCGGUGAAAUGCGUAGAGAUCUGAAGGAAUACCGAUGGCGAAGGCAGCCACCUGGGUCAACACUGACGCUCAUGUACGAAAGCGUGGGGAGCAAACGGGAUUAGAUACCCCGGUAGUCCACGCCGUAAACGAUGUCUACUAGAAGCUCGGAACCUCGGUUCUGUUUUUCAAAGCUAACGCAUUAAGUAGACCGCCUGGGGAGUACGGCCGCAAGGUUAAAACUCAAAUGAAUUGACGGGGGCCCGCACAAGCGGUGGAGUAUGUGGUUUAAUUCGAUGCUACACGAAGAACCUUACCAGGGUUUGAAAUCAUUUCAAAACUCCUUGAAAGAGGAGCCUCCUUCGGGAUGGAAUGACAGGUGGUGCAUGGCUGUCGUCAGCUCGUGUUGUGAAAUGUCGAGUUAAGUCUCGUAACGAGCGCAACCCAUGUCUCUUGUUGCUCACUGAGUGCUUAAGAGAGACUGCCGACCAACAUCGGAGGAAGGUGUGGAUGAUGUCAAGUCUGCAUGCCCCUUACAUCCUGGGCUACACACGUACUACAAUGGUAAGGACAAUGAGCUGCGAUCCUGCGAAGGCUAGCCAAUCUCAAAAACCUUAUCUCAGUUCGGAUUGCACUCUGCAACUCGAGUGCAUGAAGGUGGAAUCGCUAGUAAUCGCUGGUCAGCUAUACAGCGGUGAAUACGUUCCCGGGUCUUGUACACACUGCCCGUCACACCAUGGAAGUCGACUCUUCCCUAAGUCGUUACUCGAACCCAUUGGGACGAGGAUGCCGAAGGCAGGGUUGGUGACUAGGGUGAAGUCGUAACAAGGUAACC